AUGUUGGGGGAUUUGCUUGCCGCUUGUCGGAAAUGCAAAAACGUUGAGGUCAGUGCAAGGGUCAUCAACAGGAUCAUGCUGCUGCAACCCUCAAACUCGUGGAACUACGCGGUUUCAUCAAAGAUAUAUGGAAGCUCAGUUAGAUUGGAUAACUCUUCACGGAUGAGAGGACUGAUGAGAGAGAGAGGUGUUAGCAAAAUUCCAGGUUGCAGCUGGACUGAGGUUAGUGGCAGAGUUCUUGAAUUCUAUGCAUGGGAUGGACCACAGCAUGGUGCGGAGGGUAUGUAUCAACUCCUCAACAUGCUUCUUGAUGAGAUGAGACUGGAGGGAUAUGUUCCAAAUCUUGAUCUGGUUUAA
rnacentral:rRNA from 1 species